ACUCCUACGGGAGGCAGCAGUAGGGAAUCUUCCACAAUGGGCGCAAGCCUGAUGGAGCAACACCGCGUGAGUGAAGAAGGGUUUCGGCUCGUAAAGCUCUGUUGUUAAAGAAGAACACGUAUGAGAGUAACUGUUCAUACGUUGACGGUAUUUAACCAGAAAGUCACGGCUAACUACGUGCCAGCAGACGCGGUAAUACGUAGGUGGCAAGCGUUAUCCGGAUUUAUUGGGCGUAAAGAGAGUGCAGGCGGUUUUCUAAGUCUGAUGUGAAAGCCUUCGGCUUAACCGGAGAAGUGCAUCGGAAACUGGAUAACUUGAGUGCAGAAGAGGGUAGUGGAACUCCAUGUGUAGCGGUGGAAUGCGUAGAUAUAUGGAAGAACACCAGUGGCGAAGGCGGCUACCUGGUCUGCAACUGACGCUGAGACUCGAAAGCAUGGGUAGCGAACAGGAUUAGAUACCCUGGUAGGAUAGCGUAGUCGUGGGGAACAAGGCACACAGGGGGAUA
rnacentral:rRNA from 1 species